GGCGCUGUGGCGGAGUGGUCCAACGCCAAAGACUCGAAUGAAUGUUCCAUGGCAUCUUUUCCCUUCGGGGGCACCGGUUCGAAUCCGGUCGGCGUGG